CCUUGCAACUUCUGUUGCUAUGACGGAGAUUACACAACUAGAUUUUUCGUAGACAUGUAGCCUGUGUUGCAGCCAAUCGUCACAGUUCGAACAUUCGUACGAAAUAGAUGACAAAGUAACAACCUGUCAAGUGCCAGCAAGACUAAAGCUUGUAUGAAAUAAAAUUUGUGUUGUGUUGGAUUCCUGAACAAGAGCUUGUUGUAAUAAUGUCAUGGUCUGAAUGAGUGCUUCCUCAACAUAGGCCUCUUCAUUCAGGUCGCUGUGAAGGUCAUGUCGGCUGCAUCAAAUCAAAAGGUGCGCCGUCCCGAGUGCACGGUAUACAUCCUACUCAUCAAUACCAUAGACAAUGAAAAUGUACUGCCGACUAUCGACGCAGUGUUGAUGAUGAUCGAAUCUGGAAGAAGUCUUAUGAUGACGAUCUUUACGGCUAAAACCGUUCUCGAACGACAAAGUGACGCGCUCCUCCGAAGUAAGCCAUUCGACAGACGAUCCCGAUGACGCCAACGAUGCUUUUCUAUGUCACACGCGCCAUUGUGUGUGACUUCAUCAAAUUAUCGAUAAACGUAUUAUAUGAUAAAAAAAUAAACAAUGUGCUGUUUACAAAAGCUAACUUUAUUAGUACAUAGAUUUGUUUGUGCCUUUUUCGCGACCGAAGGGACCAAAUGUGAUUCGAAAUCUGAAUCCAAAAGCAGCAUGCAAGAGACACUAUAGAAAAGAGGCAAAUAGGGAUCUGGUAGAGAGAGCAUUUACUUUGCACCAGACUUCGUUUUAAGUCUUGGUCAACCGGAAGGCGCUUAAAAAGAUUAAAGGGGGCCCAAAAUGACCUUAGUAAGAUUUAUAACAUGGAGUCGUUUACAACAAACAUACACUUAUUUCAUAUUUAUAUUAAUAUUUUAAGUUUUCGGAUCAACGAAAACUAAUAAAAUGUAGACUAAAAAAUCAUACCCAAAUCGACUUAAUAGGAAUCCUGCAUGCGUCGUACAAGAAAAUUUAGUUAAUACUGAUACAUAAUAACGCGCUGUGUCUUACUUACACACAUGUUAGAUGUUAAUAAAUUUAACGAA
rnacentral:lncRNA from 1 species